rnacentral:tRNA from 1 species
GCGGUCGUGGCGAAAUUGGUAGACGCGCAGCGUUGAGGUCGCUGUGGAGAGAUCCUUGGAAGUUCAAAUCUUCUCGACCGCACCA